UACGGGGGGUGCAAACGUUGUUCGGAAUCACUGGGCGUAAAGAGCGCGUAGGCGGCCUUCUAAGUGGGGUGUGAAAUCCCCCGGCUCAACCGGGGAACUGCAUCCCAUACUGCAUGGCUUGAGGGCAGCAGAGGAAACGGGAAUUCCAGGUGUAGCGGUGAAAUGCGUAGAUAUCUGGAGGAACACCGGUGGCGAAGGCGGCAUCCUGGACCAAUAUUGACGCUGAGGAGCGAAAGCCAGGGGAGCAAACGGG
rnacentral:rRNA from 1 species